UAUGUGUGUCAUUUGUAAUCAGUUUUCAAUA
rnacentral:piRNA from 1 species